UCCGUUAUUCAAAUUAUCAACGGUUACUGAACCAAUGCGUCGUUGCGUCGUAAACUGUGGUUGAAUCGAAUGUGGACAUAUUUGUCUUGACGUUUCCGAACGAAUGACAUUUUCCGGAUUAUCCGGGCGUACUUUAUGACACAUAUCGAAAAGGUAAGUCACUGUCGUAUCAAACACUUCUUCAAUACAUAACGUGAAAUGCCUAUGCUUGCAAAAAUCUAUAAGUUGUUUUGCCUGCCUCAUUUCAAUCAAUGAGUCUCCAACUAACACUUCAGAUACACCAGUUUCUUGUAAUAAUUUAGCUGCAACGACAGGAUGACUA
rnacentral:sRNA from 1 species